GAGGAAGGUGAUUAUGCAUUAAUUAUAUAACCCAGUAUUAACACAGUAAACAGAGACAGGGUAACUUCACAGCAAAUGAACAAUCUUGUGUCCGCAAAAUGAACUGAACAUCUUCCCUCUGAUAUCUUCAAUGUCUACCCACACAUCGAAGUCAAAUACUCAGUUACUAGAUUUUCUGAAAGUAACAAGCAUCAUCUAAAAACUACCACCCCUCAAAGCAAGCACAAGAUGAAGCACAGAGCCGCCCUCAAUGUUGUAGUCACGAGCCGUUUUGUCAUCCCCAAGCUGCUUCCCAGCAUAAAUAAGUCUGAAACCAGAAACAAGUCUCAGUGACAGAAUGACUUUGUAAUCUAUAUGAGAACAUAAAAAAGUAGCUUUGUGAACAGAUUGAAACUAGCAACUGUGACAAAUUAACAAGGCUCUGCCUCACUCAUUAUGCAGCAUGUAGUGAUACUAAGUUGAAUUUAUUGAGGUGAUAUUUAGAUUAACCAUACUUCUUAAUAUGGAUUCCAUACCAGAAGGAUAAACAAAUGGCUGUUCUAGGUUCAGAUAAUUUAGGUGCAACUGAAAUUUUAUAUAGUAUGUGCAAUACUAAAGAUGUUCAAGGUAAUGAUCUUUUUUUUUUUUUUUAGGUAAUGAUCUAUUAAAGAAGCAAUUCUGUAAAACAAUGAUUUACUUUAGCACUUCGUAGCAUAAAUAGAAUAAGAUCAAAAUUGUUACCUUUGCUGCACUGGAGGAAUGCCUUCUUUCUCCUCAACUCGUUCCUUGAUCCAAUCGAUGGUAUCAGUGGGUUCAAUGUCAAUUUCAAUCUCUUUUCCAGUGAGAGUCUUUACCUUGAUCAUAGUUCCUCCCCUAAGCCUCAGAACCAGGUGAAGUGUUGACUCCUUCUGGAUGUUAUAAUCAGCAAGAGUUCGGCCAUCUUCCAAUUGCUUACCAGCAAAAAUUAAUCUCUGCUGGUCAGGAGGAAUACCUUCCUUGUCCUGGAUCUUGGCUUUGACAUUAUCGAUGGUAUCACUG
rnacentral:misc_RNA from 1 species